CAAUAGCGUAUAUUAAAGUUGUUGCAGUUAAAAAGCUCGUAGUUGGAUUUCUGGUAGGAGCGACCAUACCGGACUUGAUUGUCCGCGUAAUGCGUUGUCUCCAGCCAUCCUCGUGGAGAUUGUUUUUGGCAUUAACUUGUCGAAUUCGGGACCCGCGUCAUUUACUGUGAAAAAAUUAGAGUGUUUAAAGCAGGCAAUUGGCUUGAAUACAUUAGCAUGGAAUAAUAAGAUAGGACUUUGGUGCUAUUUUGUUGGUUUGCACAUCAAGGUAAUGAUUAACAGAAUCAGUCGGGGAUAUUCGUAUGCAAAUGUCAGAGGUGAAAUUCUUGGAUUUUUUACAGACGAACAACUGCGAAAGCAUUUAUCAAGGAUGUUUUCAUUAA
rnacentral:rRNA from 1 species